rnacentral:rRNA from 1 species
UACGAAGGGGGCUAGCGUUGCUCGGAAUUACUGGGCGUAAAGGGCGCGUAGGCGGAUGUUUAAGUCAGCGGUGAAAGCCCAGGGCUCAACCUUGGAACUGCCAUUGAUACUGGACAUCUUGAGUACGGGAGAGGUGAGUGGAACUCCGAGUGUAGAGGUGAAAUUCGUAGAUAUUCGGAAGAACACCAGUGGCGAAGGCGGCUCACUGGCUCAUUUCUGACGCUCAGGCGCGACGGCGUGGGGAUCAAACAGG